rnacentral:rRNA from 1 species
CAGUCGCCGCGGGAAUACGUAGGGGGCAAGCGUUGUCCGGAAUUAUUGGGCGUAAAGCGCGCGCAGGCGGUCAUUUAAGUCUGGUGUUUAAUCCCGGGGCUCAACCCCGGAUCGCACUGGAAACUGGGUGACUUGAGUGCAGAAGAGGAGAGUGGAAUUCCACGUGUAGCGGUGAAAUGCGUAGAUAUGUGGAGGAACACCAGUGGCGAAGGCGACUCUCUGGGCUGUAACUGACGCUGAGGCGCGAAAGCGUGGGGAGCAAACAGGAUUAGAUACCCCAGUAGUCCCUGUCUCUUAUACC